GUGGGGAAUCUUGCGCAAUGGGCGAAAGCCUGACGCAGCCAUGCCGCGUGAAUGAUGAAGGUCUUAGGAUUGUAAAAUUCUUUCACCGGGGACGAUAAUGACGGUACCCGGAGAAGAAGCUCCGGCUAACUUCGUGCCAGCAGCCGCGGUAAUACGAAGGGGGCUAGUGUUGCUCGGAAUUACUGGGCGUAAAGGGCGCGUAGGCGGACAGCUUAGUCAGAGGUGAAAGCCCAGGGCUCAACCUUGGAAUUGCCUUUGAUACUGGCUGUCUUGAGUUUGGGAGAGGUGAGUGGAACUCCGAGUGUAGAGGUGAAAUUCGUAGAUAUUCGGAAGAACACCAGUGGCGAAGGCGACUCACUGGCCCAAUACUGACGCUGAGGCGCGAAAGCGUGGGGAGCAAACAGGAUUAGAAACCCUUGUAGUCC
rnacentral:rRNA from 1 species